GAUGAAGAACGCAGCGAAAUGCGAUAAGUAAUGUGAAUUGCAGAAUUCAGUGAAUCAUCGAAUCUUUGAACGCACAUUGCGCCCGCUAGUAUUCUGGCGGCAUGCCUGUCCGAGCGUCAUUUCAACCCUCCAGCCCCCGGGCUUGGUGUUGGGGAUCGGCGAGCCUCCGCGCCCGCCGUCCCCUAAAUCUAGUGGCGGUCUCGCUGUAGCUUCCUCUGCGUAGUAGCACACCUCGCACUGGGAAACAGCGCGGCCACGCCGUUAAACCCCCAACUUCUGAACGUUUGACCUCGGAUCAGGUAGGAAUACCCGCUGAACUUAAGCAUAUCAAUAAGCGGAGGA
rnacentral:misc_RNA from 1 species